CCUACGGGUGGCAGCAGUGAGGAAUAUUGGUCAAUGGACGAGAGUCUGAACCAGCCAAGUAGCGUGAAGGAUGACUGCCCUAUGGGUUGUAAACUUCUUUUAUAAAGGAAUAAAACGAGGCACGUGUGCCUUUUUGCAUGUACUUUAUGAAUAAGGAUCGGCUAACUCCGUGCCAGCAGCCGCGGUAAUACGGAGGAUCCGAGCGUUAUCCGGAUUUAUUGGGUUUAAAGGGAGCGUAGAUGGGUUGUUAAGUCAGUUGUGAAAGUUUGCGGCUCAACCGUAAAAAUGCAAUUGAUACUGGCAGUCGUGAGUACAGUUGAGGUAGGCGGAAUUCGUGGUGUAGCGGUGAAAUGCUUAGAUAUCACGAAGAACCCCGAUUGCGAAGGCAGCUUACUAAACUGUGACUGACAUUGAUGCUCGAAAGUGUGGGUAUCAAACAGGAUUAGAUACCCUAGUAGUC
rnacentral:rRNA from 1 species